CCAAAGAUGCCUGAGGUGAACGGCUGAGAACCUUUCUGGAGGUGAACAUAAAGCCUGGAUGACGGAUGUGGGAACAGCAUCGCAGGAAAAUCUUAUCAGAAUGCCAACUAGAUAGAGAAGCCAGUCUACACGCUGAGCGUUGCUGCCUGCCUCAGACUGUGGAGCCGGCGUGUCCCCUACACACAAGGGGACACGAGAGUGGUCCCAGCUCCCCUGCUACAGAGCCUACGGUGUGAGGGUGGACAGAAGUCCUUUAGCUUCCCCGGGGGUUGUACCCCAGGUAUAGAAUUGAGGGGUGGACUGGAUGGCUUUUUAGACACCUUUCAACCAAAAGGAUCUAAGCCAGCCUGAGACUCCACCGUGGAGGGGGCACUGAGGGUGGCAAAAGAAA